rnacentral:lncRNA from 1 species
AAGUAUAAUGGACAAAUAUUUUGCAAUUCAUCUGUUGCCAUACAGUUUCUAUAAAAACACUUUUUUUUUUUUUUUUAGUUUGCUUUAUUUUGUAAUGAUGUUAUAUGGCCAAUAAACAAAUAAAAAUGCUUAUGUUUGUAUGUAACUUGGUAGUAUAAGAGAAAAUUGUUAAAGUAGGCAACAAUGAACCCUUUUGGCCAGGGUGAUACCCCCAAUUGUGGAUAAUAGAGAAUAGUUCAUUUUAUGUUAACAAUGCAUUCUCGGGGACCUACAUGCCAAAAUUUUCUCUUAUUUUUAAAGAGGAAUCAGAGAAUUUGUACUUAACACUUCAUCCCAUUGACUGUGAAGGAUUUCCUCAGGAAUGAUUAGUGGUUCUGCACCAAUUUUCAUGGCCAAUGGGAUAGUAUGCAAUAAACGAUUGGCAGGAAUCUGGUAUGUAUUUAAAAAGUCAAGAGCAAGCUCUGCCAGGAGAAUUUUCUGAAACUGAAACUCAUAAAUUUUUGAGUAAUAUGGUUGAAUAAUAAUAUUUAUACUCUAGUCAAGGAAUUUUAUCUGAUAUGUCUUUAUUUUCAGAAAUAAAAGAUGAAUAAAAACUUUGUAAAAUAAUUAUUAUGUAUUCUGAAUAAAGUCUGGGAAAAAAAA